AUGAAGCACCAAGCACCCAAAUUACCCUAGUUACAAUCUCCAAAUCAAUCCAGCCCUAACUCACUCUCAGUUGAAAAGAUUCGCGACUCACGCUUAGUCAGUUGGAGAUUUGGAGAACUUACCUCAGUAAAGGGAGAGGCGACUGCGAACCUCCUUCGACGACCUACAACUACAAAUCGGCGGCGACUUGCAAUGGGAGGACGACGGGUGGAGAAAUCAUCCGACUUGAGAGGGUCUUCUUCCUUGCCUCCCAAGUACUUACAGAGCUUGGUUGUCGUCGGUGGACCUCUAUACUCACCUGGAGCAAUGCCAGUCGACCACUUGAGAGAUUCUCGUCCAGAUCCUACAACGCAGCUAUCAUGGUUUCCCGUUUUAGUUUCACACUUCCCAAUUCCCUCUUUUCUCAUUUUUGUUUCGUUUCUCACCCCCGAAGAACCCUAAUCGGUGCCAACCACACCUCUGCUCGUUUUUGCUCUCGCUAGGUUUUCUUUCUUUUUUCCUUUUUCCAUAUCUUGAUUAAUUUUUUCUGCUCUCGCUAGGUUUCUAGUUUUCCCAGAUUUUUCUUUCCCAUUCUUAUUUUGGUUUUCUGAAGAGAAAGAAAGAAGGAAAGUCUUUGGCGGUGAUGGUGCCUACGAUGGUGAUAUUCAGCCCAUUGGAAAAAAUGAAUUCUUUUGUUUGGUGUUGCUAUUCUCCUUCGA